AGACACAGCGCAGACAUGAAGGCUCCUGCCCAGCUCCUGGGGCUCCUGCUGCUUUGGCUCCCAGGUGCCAGAUGUGACAUCCAGUUGACCCAGUCUCCAUCCGUGUCUGCAUCUCUGGGAGACAGAGUCGCCAUCACUUGUAGGGCCAGCCAGGGCAUUGGCACUGGUUUACAUUGGUACCAACAGAGACCAGGGAAAGCUCCCAAGCUCCUGAUCCGUUAUGCAACUACUUUGGAAUCUGGGGUCCCAUCGAGGUUCAGUGGCAGUGGAUCUGGGACAGAGUUCACUCUCACCAUCAGCAGCCUGCAGCCUGAAGAUGUUGCCACUUAUUACUGUCAACAGAGUAGGAGUUACCCUCCCACGUUAGGUGAAGGGACCACGUUGUGUCUCCUAAUCUCUUAA